rnacentral:rRNA from 1 species
UUUAUGGAGAGUUUGAUCCUGGCUCAGGAUGAACGCUGGCGGCGUGCCUAAUACAUGCAAGUCGAGCGAACAGACGGGGAGCUUGCUCCCCCGACGUUAGCGGCGGACGGGUGAGUAACACGUGGGUAACCUACCUAUAAGACUGGGAUAACUCUGGGAAACCGGAGGUAAUGCCGGAUAACAUGUUGGACCGCAUGGGUCUACCGGGGAAGGAGGGUGUGCUGUUCCUUCA